rnacentral:ncRNA from 1 species
AAUAGGUUUGGUCCCAGCCUUUCUAUUAGUUGUAAACAAAACUACACAUGCAAGUAUCCGCGCCCCGGUGAGAAUGCCCUAUAAAUCGCCCCCUUAGACGAUACAAAGGAGCGGGUAUCAAGCACACCACUAGGUAGCUCAUAACGCCUUGCUCAACCACACCCCCACGGGAGACAGCAGUGAUAAAAAUUAAGCAAUAAACGAAAGUUUGACUAAGUUAUGUUUAUUCAGGGUUGGUAAAUUUCGUGCCAGCCACCGCGGUCAUACGAUUAACCCCAAUUAAUAGAUGCUCGGCGUAAAGCGUGUUUAAGAUCCCCUAAAAAUAAAGUCAAACCCUAGCCACGCUGUAAAAAGCCACAGCUAUUGUAAGCCCCACUACGAAAGUGACUUUAAAAGAUCCGAAUACACGAUAGCUAAGGCCCAAACUGGGAUUAGAUACCCCACUAUGCUUAGCCCUAAACCUAGAGAGUCAACAUAACAAGAUCCUCCGCCAGAGUACUACUAGCCACAGCCUAAAACUCAAGGGACUUGGCGGUGCUUUAUAUCCUUCUAGAGGAGCCUGUUCUGUAAUCGAUAAACCCCGAUAAACCUCACCAACCCUUGCCAACUCAGCCUAUAUACCGCCAUCUUCAGCAAACCCUGAAAAGGAAUAAUAGUAAGCUCAAUUACAACAUGUAAAAACGUUAGGUCAAGGUGUAGCCUAUGGGUUGGAAAGAAAUGGGCUACAUUUCCUACCAAUAGGACAUAAUCCCUUUAAACGAAGGUCCUUGUGAAAUCAAGAACUAAAGGUGGAUUUAGCAGUAAACUAAGAAUAGAGUGCUUAGUUGAAUAAGGCCAUGAAGCACGCACACACCGCCCGUCACCCUCCUCAAGCCCUAACGGUGAACCCAACCAUAUUAUACACACCACAACUGCCAGAGGAGAUAAGUCGUAACAAGGUAAGCGUACUGGAAAGUGCGCUUGGACAAUU